UAACCGUAAGUGAACCUGCGGAAGGAUCAUUAGCACAAUCCAAACUUAAAUUCUUGUGAACACUGUUGCUGUUACUUAAGAAACUAUUGUUCCCUCGUAAUUUUUUUUCCAAUUUGAACUUUUUUUAAAGUCGAAAAGGAAAUGGGAUUUGCGAGGGGACAAUAAGUUUCUUAAACUUGUAAACCAUUCUUUGAAAUAAACCUGACAAUAUAUUAUUAUUUUGUCAUGUAUUUUAAACAAAAAACAACUUUUGACGGUGGAUCUCUUGGCUCAU
rnacentral:misc_RNA from 1 species